GGUUAAGCGACUAAGCGUACACGGUGGAUGCCCUGGCAGUCAGAGGCGAUGAAGGACGUGCUAAUCUGCGAAAAGCGUCGGUAAGGUGAUAUGAACCGUUACAGCCGGCGAUGUCCGAAUGGGGAAACCCAGUGCAAUUCGUUGCACUAUCGUUAACUGAAUACAUAGGUUAACGAGGCGAACCGGGGGAACUGAAACAUCUAAGUACCCCGAGGAAAAGAAAUCAACCGAGAUUCCCCCAGUAGCGGCGAGCGAACGGGGAGCAGCCCAGAGUCUGAAUCAGCUUGUGUGUUAGUGGAACGGUCUGGAAAGUCCGACGGUACAGGGUGAUAGUCCCGUACACCAAAAUGCACAGGCUGUGAACUCGAAGAGUAGGGCGGGACACGUGGUAUCCUGUCUGAAUAUGGGGGGACCAUCCUCCAAGGCUAAAUACUCCUGACUGACCGAUAGUGAACCAGUACCGUGAGGGAAAGGCGAAAAGAACCCCGGCGAGGGGAGUGAAAAAGAACCUGAAACCGUGUACGUACAAGCAGUGGGAGCACCUUCGGGUGUGACUGCGUACCUUUUGUAUAAUGGGUCAGCGACUUAUAUUCUGUAGCAAGGUUAACCGUAUAGGGGAGCCGCAGGGAAACCGAGUCUUAACUGGGCGUUAAGUUGCAGGGUAUAGACCCGAAACCCGGUGAUCUAGCCAUGGGCAGGUUGAAGGUUGGGUAACACUAACUGGAGGACCGAACCGACUAAUGUUGAAAAAUUAGCGGAUGACUUGUGGCUGGGGGUGAAAGGCCAAUCAAACCGGGAGAUAGCUGGUUCUCCCCGAAAGCUAUUUAGGUAGCGCCUCGUGAAUUCAUCUUCGGGGGUAGAGCACUGUUUCGGCUAGGGGGUCAUCCCGACUUACCAACCCGAUGCAAACUACGAAUACCGAAGAAUGUUAUCACGGGAGACACACGGCGGGUGCUAACGUCCGUCGUGAAGAGGGAAACAACCCAGACCGCCAGCUAAGGUCCCAAAGUCAUGGUUAAGUGGGAAACGAUGUGGGAAGGCACAGACAGCCAGGAUGUUGGCUUAGAAGCAGCCAUCAUUUAAAGAAAGCGUAAUAGCUCACUGGUCGAGUCGGCCUGCGCGGAAGAUGUAACGGGGCUAAACCAUGCACCGAAGCUGCGGCAGCGACACUAUGUGUUGUUGGGUAGGGGAGCGUUCUGUAAGCCUGCGAAGGUGACCUGUGAGGGUUGCUGGAGGUAUCAGAAGUGCGAAUGCUGACAUAAGUAACGAUAAAGCGGGUGAAAAGCCCGCUCGCCGGAAGACCAAGGGUUCCUGUCCAACGUUAAUCGGGGCAGGGUGAGUCGACCCCUAAGGCGAGGCCGAAAGGCGUAGUCGAUGGGAAACAGGUUAAUAUUCCUGUACUUGGUGUUACUGCGAAGGGGGGACGGAGAAGGCUAUGUUAGCCGGGCGACGGUUGUCCCGGUUUAAGCAUGUAGGCUGGUUGUCCAGGCAAAUCCGGAUAAUCAAGGCUGAGGUGUGAUGACGAGGCACUACGGUGCUGAAGUAACAAAUGCCCUGCUUCCAGGAAAAGCCUCUAAGCAUCAGGUAACAUCAAAUCGUACCCCAAACCGACACAGGUGGUCAGGUAGAGAAUACCAAGGCGCUUGAGAGAACUCGGGUGAAGGAACUAGGCAAAAUGGUGCCGUAACUUCGGGAGAAGGCACGCUGGUGUGUAGGUGAAGUCCCUGCGGAUGGAGCUGAGACCAGUCGAAGAUACCAGCUGGCUGCAACUGUUUAUUAAAAACACAGCACUGUGCAAACACGAAAGUGGACGUAUACGGUGUGACGCCUGCCCGGUGCCGGAAGGUUAAUUGAUGGGGUUAUCCGUAAGGAGAAGCUCUUGAUCGAAGCCCCGGUAAACGGCGGCCGUAACUAUAACGGUCCUAAGGUAGCGAAAUUCCUUGUCGGGUAAGUUCCGACCUGCACGAAUGGCGUAAUGAUGGCCAGGCUGUCUCCACCCGAGACUCAGUGAAAUUGAACUCGCUGUGAAGAUGCAGUGUACCCGCGGCAAGACGGAAAGACCCCGUGAACCUUUACUAUAGCUUGACACUGAACAUUGAGCCUUGAUGUGUAGGAUAGGUGGGAGGCUUUGAAGCGUGGACGCCAGUCUGCGUGGAGCCAACCUUGAAAUACCACCCUUUAAUGUUUGAUGUUCUAACGUUGGCCCCUUAUCGGGGUUGCGGACAGUGUCUGGUGGGUAGUUUGACUGGGGCGGUCUCCUCCCAAAGCGUAACGGAGGAGCACGAAGGUUAGCUAAUCCUGGUCGGACAUCAGGAGGUUAGUGCAAUGGCAUAAGCUAGCUUGACUGCGAGCGUGACGGCGCGAGCAGGUGCGAAAGCAGGUCAUAGUGAUCCGGUGGUUCUGAAUGGAAGGGCCAUCGCUCAACGGAUAAAAGGUACUCCGGGGAUAACAGGCUGAUACCGCCCAAGAGUUCAUAUCGACGGCGGUGUUUGGCACCUCGAUGUCGGCUCAUCACAUCCUGGGGCUGAAGUAGGUCCCAAGGGUAUGGCUGUUCGCCAUUUAAAGUGGUACGCGAGCUGGGUUUAGAACGUCGUGAGACAGUUCGGUCCCUAUCUGCCGUGGGCGCUGGAGAAUUGAGGGGGGCUGCUCCUAGUACGAGAGGACCGGAGUGGACGCAUCACUGGUGUUCGGGUUGUCAUGCCAAUGGCACUGCCCGGUAGCUAAAUGCGGAAGAGAUAAGUGCUGAAAGCAUCUAAGCACGAAACUUGCCCCGAGAUGAGUUCUCCCUGAGACUUUAAGUCUCCUGAAGGAACGUUGAAGACGACGACGUUGAUAGGCCGGGUGUGUAAGCGCAGCGAUGCGUUGAGCUAACCGGUACUAAUGAACCGUGAGGCUUAACCUU
rnacentral:rRNA from 1 species